UACGGAGGAUCCGAGCGUUAUCCGGAUUUAUUGGGCGUAAAGUGCGUCUAGGCGGUUUAGUAAGUCUGAUGUGAAAAUGCGGGGCUCAACCCCGUAUUGCGUUGGAAACUGCUAAACUAGAGUACUGGAGAGGUAGGCGGAACUACAAGUGUAGAGGUGAAAUUCGUAGAUAUUUGUAGGAAUGCCGAUGGGGAAGCCAGCCUACUGGACAGAUACUGACGCUAAAGUGCGAAAGCGUGGGUAGCAAACAGG
rnacentral:rRNA from 1 species